GACGAACGCUGGCGGCGUGCUUAACACAUGCAAGUCGAACGGAAAGGCCCUGCUUUUGUGGGGUGCUCGAGUGGCGAAGGGGUGAGUAACGCGUGAGUAACCUGCCCUUGACUUUGGGAUAACUUCAGGAAACUGGGGCUAAUACCGGAUAGGAGCUCCUGCUGCAUGGUGGGGGUUGGAAAGUUUCGGCGGUUGGGGAUGGACUCGCGGCUUAUCAGCUUGUUGGUGGGGUAGUGGCUUACCAAGGCUUUGACGGGUAGCCGGCCUGGGAGGGUGACCGGCCACAUUGGGACUGAGAUACGGCCCAGACUCCUACGGGAGGCAGCAGUGGGGAAUAUUGCACAAUGGGCGGAAGCCUGAUGCAGCAACGCCGCGUGCGGGAUGACGGCCUUCGGGUUGUAAACCGCUUUCGCCUGUGACGAAGCGUAAGUGACGGUAAUGGGUAAAGAAGCACCGGCUAACUACGUG
rnacentral:rRNA from 1 species